CCCUUAGACGUUCUGGGCCGCACGCGCGCUACACUGACGAAGGCAACGAGCUUUCCUUUACCGAAAGGUACGGGUAAUCUUUUGAAACUUCGUCGUGCUGGGGAUAGAUCCUUGCAAUUAUUGAUCUUAAACGAGGAAUUCCUAGUAAGCGCAAGUCAUCAACUUGCGUUGAUUACGUCCCUGCCCUUUGUACACACCGCCCGUCGCUACUACCGAUUGAAUGGCUUAGUGAGGCCUUCGGAUCCGCGACUCGUUUUGUGGUGAAGUUGGACAAACUCAGUCAUUUAGAGGAAGUAAAAGUCGUAACA
rnacentral:rRNA from 1 species